rnacentral:rRNA from 1 species
CCCUUCUGUCCACCCGAGCGGAUUGUUAGGCGGCUUGCUCCAAGACGAUUAGCGGCGGACGGGUGAGUAACACGUGGGUAACCUGCCUGUAAGACUGGGAUAACUCCGGGAAACCGGGGCUAAUACCGGAGAAUAUUUUCCGCGGCAUGCUGAUCCGUUGAAAGGUGGCUUUAGCUAUCACUUACAGAUGGACCCGCGGCGCAUUAGCUAGUUGGUGAGGUAACGGCUCACCAAGGCAACGAUGCGUAGCCGACCUGAGAGGGUGAUCGGCCACACUGGGACUGAGACACGGCCCAGACUCCUACGGGAGGCAGCAGUAGGGAAUCUUCCGCAAUGGACGAAAGUCUGACGGAGCAACGCCGCGUGAGUGAUGAAGGUUUUCGGAUCGUAAAACUCUGUUGUUAGGGAAGAACAAGUGCCGUUCAAAUAGGGCGGCACCUUGACGGUACCUAACCAGAAAGCCACGGCUAACUACGUGCCAGCAGCCGCGGUAAUACGUAGGUGGCAAGCGUUGUCCGGAAUUUCAUUGGGCGUAAAGCGCGCGCAGGCGGUUUCUUAAGUCUGAUGUGAAAGCCCACGGCUCAACCGUGGAGGGUCAUUGGAAACUGGGGGACUUGAGUGCAGAAGAGGAAAGUGGAAUUCCAAGUGUAGCGGUGAAAUGCGUAGAUAUUUGGAGGAACACCAGUGGCGAAGGCGACUUUCUGGUCUGUAACUGACGCUGAGGCGCGAAAGCGUGGGGAGCGAACAGGAUUAGAUACCCUGGUAGUCCACGCCGUAAACGAUGAGUGCUAAGUGUUAGAGGGUUUCCGCCCUUUAGUGCUGCAGCUAACGCAUUAAGCACUCCGCCUGGGGAGUACGGCCGCAAGGCUGAAACUCAAAGGAAUUGACGGGGGCCCGCACAAGCGGUGGAGCAUGUGGUUUAAUUCGAAGCAACGCGAAGAACCUUACCAGGUCUUGACAUCCUCUUGCUCUCCCUAGAGAUAGGGCAUUCCCCUUUCGGGGGACAAGAGUGACAGGUGGUGCAUGGUUGUCGUCAGCUCGUGUCGUGAGAUGUUGGGUUAAGUCCCGCAACGAGCGCAACCCUUGAUCUUAGUUGCCAGCAUUCAGUUGGGCACUCUAAGGUGACUGCCGGUGACAAACCGGAGGAAGGUGGGGAUGACGUCAAAUCAUCAUGCCCCUUAUGACCUGGGCUACACACGUGCUACAAUGGAUGGUACAAAGGGCUGCAAGACCGCGAGGUUUAGCCAAUCCCAUAAAACCAUUCUCAGUUCGGAUUGUAGGCUGCAACUCGCCUACAUGAAGCCGGAAUCGCUAGUAAUCGCGGAUCAGCAUGCCGCGGUGAAUACGUUCCCGGGCCUUGUACACACCGCCCGUCACACCACGAGAGUUUGUAACACCCGAAGUCGGUGAGGUAACCUUACGGGGCCAGCCGCCGAAGGUGGGACAGAUGAUUGGGGUGAAGUCGUAACAAGGUAGCCGUAUCGGAAGGUGCCCCACCUCCUU